AAUUCUGUUACUGUUGCUUACUGUUAUUUGCCUCACAAGGUUGUGGUGGGGUGGAAAGGAAGAAGAGGAAGGAAGAUGAGAUACGAUUGCUGCCUGGAAUGAUUUAUAAAAAUAAUAAAGGCAGGAAUUUAAAAAAUAUUUUUAAAAAAUACUAAAAUGGGAGACUACGUAAACAGCAGGGGCAAAUUACUUCUGUUGUUGCCAGAGAAACAAGCCAGAGCCACGAAGAGCCCAAUUCAAAAGAGGGGGGGGGUUUCUUUCAGCACCUCGCAGCCAAUGGAAGGGAGUUGUUUGCUAAAGCCCAGGGAAUUCUGAAAAGGGAUUGGCACUCUAGCCAGGAUUUCUCAACCUUGACCACUUUAAGCUGUGUGGACAUCAACUCCCAAAAUUCCCCAAACAUCAUGGCUAGCUGCGGAAUUCUGGGAGUUGAAGUCCACAGUUUAAAGUGACCGAGGUUGAGAAACCCUGCUCUGACUCCUCCUGCUCUGUCCAUCCAGACCACUUGAGCAGCAAACAUUCCUGGAAAAGCUACUCUCUGCAAGAAAUUUGAAAGGUUUUGCACCCCUCCCAGCUUUUUGCAAGGUUGGAUUGAAGCCAUUUGAAGCAGGCUGGCAGAAAUCCUGGAACCUUUGCCAAGAAGCUACCGAAGGAAAGCUAAGAAGCCAACAUGAAAGAAUUCCAAUUACUGUGGUCUAUGGAAAGCAGGAGGCAACAAAUACUGUACGUCAAGUGUACGCCAAGGGGUUUUCCCCCCCUCCCCCCACUUGUCUCUGGGUCUCCAGGAAAGCAUUCUGGAGAUGAAAGCAGGGCCAUGGCUUGAACUACGGCUGCCGGUAAUUCUGCCUUCAAACCACAACAUCAUUUGAUGUUUCAACUGGUAUAAUGUAUUUUAUGUUAUAUGUUACAAAUAUAUCACAAAUAUAAGUUAUGAGCAUAGAGGGCCUGUAAUGCAACCAUAGUUAGCCUUUUCAUGAACUCCCUGGGAAACUCAUGUUGCUGGAAUGUGUGUAAGGAAAGUUUCUGAGUGUGUGUAUGAGUGAUUUAUCGUUGGUGAUACCAGGCAGGGUGGAUGUGAGGAAAUCAGUGGAGUCUUGGAACAAACAGUGAGCGUGUAAAGUUCCUGACGUGGAUGGGGCAAGAUGUACUAUCCACGUGGAUUCUGAAUAAAUGUGUUGGGUAUAAAGAGAAGGCUGAACCCAGACCCUAAGUUCAGGAUGAAGGGGACGCCCCGAGUCUGCUUCCCAGCCCACUCUAACGCAGGCUCUAACACAUCACCUGUGUUGAGAGUGUAAGUGAGCAUUGUGUGAAUGCCUAGUUGGGCAGCAAAUGCUUACAGCAACUUGAGUGGGCAUAACAUAUUGUAGUAAGAUAACUUUGAAAUUAGACAAGUAUAAGUACAAAUAUAAAAGAACUAAUUAAGCUUAAUUGCACGCUUGCCUUGCUUUUUGUCUGAAUCACACAAGAAUAAAGGAACUAUUGGAAA